UACGGGGGGGGGCAAGCGUUGUUCGGAAUUACUGGGCGUAAAGGGUUUGUAGGUGGUCUGUUAAGUCAGACGUGAAAUCCCUCAGCUUAACUGGGGAACUGCGUCUGAGAUUGAUGGACUUGAGGGCAGGAGAGGAACGCGGAAUUCCAGGUGUAGCGGUGAAAUGCGUAGAUAUCUGGAGGAACACCGGUGGCGAAGGCGGCGUUCUGGACUGUUUCUGACACUGUAAAACGAAAGCCAGGGGAGCAAACGGG
rnacentral:rRNA from 1 species